GUAUCACUGAAUCGGGGAAGGUUGAGAACCUUCGAGCAAGGUUCGAGUUGAGCGCAGCGAAACAACGUCGCCUGCGACGGCCCGAAGGGUGAGGAACGAAGUGACGAAUAAUCCUUCCCCCACCACCA
rnacentral:sRNA from 1 species